GACGAACGCUGGCGGCGUGCUUAACACAUGCAAGUCGAGCGGUAAGGCCCUUUCGGGGUACGACGAGCGGCGAACGGGUGAGUAACACGUGGGUGACCUGCCCUCCAGCUCUGGGAGUAAGCCUCGGGAAACCGGGGUACUAAUACUGGAUAUGACUCCAUGACGCAUGUUGUGGGGUGGAAAGCCUUGUGCGGCUGAGGAUGGGCCCGCGGCC
rnacentral:rRNA from 1 species